CUGUGUGCUCUGAGUGAGGGUCUGAGUCACCUGCCAUUUUGCUGGAGGAGCCCCUUGGGCCUUAGUAAACAUUUACAAUGUCUUUCAUCUUUGAGUGGAUCUACCGAGGCUUCAGCAGUGUGCCCCAGUUCCUAGGACUUGACAAGAAAUCUGGAAAACUUGGGUUCUUAGGUUUAAACAAUACAGGCAAAACAAUUCUUCUUCACAUGAUCAAAGAUGACAGAUUGGGCCAACAUAUUCCAACACUACAUCUGACAUCAGAAGAGCUAACAAUUGCUGGAAUGACUUUUACAACUUUUCACCUUGGUCGGCACGAGCAAGCAUGCCGGGUUUGGAAAAAUUGUCUCCCAGCAAUGAAUGGGAUUGUCUUUCUGGUGGACUGUGCAGAUCUUUCUUACCUUAUGGAAUCCAAAGUUGAACUUAAUGCUUUAAUGACUGAUGAAACAAUAUCCAAUGUGCCAAUCCUUAUCCUGGGUAACAAAAUUGACAGAACAGAUACAAUCAAUGCAGAAAAACUCCGUGAGAUAUUUGAGCUUUAUGGAGAGACCACAGGAAAGGGGAAUGUGACCCUGAAAGAGCUGAAUGUUCUCCCUAUGGAAGUGUUCAUGUGCAGUGCACUCAAGAGGCAAGCCUACAGGGAGGGUUUCUGAAGUUUUGACAGUGAAAAUAAGAGUAUUACUU